GGCGAACGCUGGCGGCGUGCUUAACACAUGCAAGUCGAACGGAAAGGCCCUGCUUUUGUGGGGUGCUCGAGUGGCGAACGGGUGAGUAACACGUGAGUAACCUGCCCUUGACUUUGGGAUAACUUCAGGAAACUGGGGCUAAUACCGGAUAGGAGCUCCUGCUGCAUGGUGGGGGUUGGAAAGUUUCGGCGGUUGGGGAUGGACUCGCGGCUUAUCAGCUUGUUGGUGGGGUAGUGGCUUACCAAGGCUUUGACGGGUAGCCGGCCUGAGAGGGUGACCGGCCACAUUGGGACUGAGAUACGGCCCAGACUCCUACGGGAGGCAGCAGUGGGGAAUAUUGCACGAUGGGCGGAAGCCUGAUGCAGCAACGCCGCGUGCGGGAUGACGGCCUUCGGGUUGUAAACCGCUUUCGCCUGUGACGAAGCGUGAGUGACGGUAAUGGGUAAAGAAGCACCGGCUAACUACGUG
rnacentral:rRNA from 1 species